rnacentral:rRNA from 1 species
UACGUAGGGUGCAAGCGUUGCCCGGAUUUAUUGGGCGUAAAGGGCGCGUAGGCGGCUCUGCACGUCCGUUGUGAAAUCGCCCGGCUCAACUGGGCGGGGUCAGCGGAUACGGCAGAGCUUGAGCAAGCUAGGGGGCAAUGGAAUUCCCGGUGUAGUGGUGGAAUGCGUAGAUAUCGGGAGGAACACCAGUGGCGAAGGCGGCGAUCUGGGAAGAUAUUGACGCUGAGGUGCGAAAGCGUGGGGAGCAAACAGG